AAUAGAUACCCCGGUAGUCCACGCCGUAAACGAUGGAUACUAGCUGUUGGAGGUAUCGACCCCUUCAGUAGCGAAGCUAACGCGUUAAGUAUCCCGCCUGUGGAGUACGGUCGCAAGACUAAAACAUAAAGGAAUUGACGGGGACCCGCACAAGCGGUGGAUCGUGUUCUUUAAUUCGAUGCUAAACGGAGAACCUUACCAGGGUUUGACAUCCUUGGAAUUUCUGCGAAAGUAGAAAGUGCUUUAUUGAACCAAGUGACAGGUGAUGCAUGGCCGUCGUCAGCUCGUGUCGUGAGAUGUUUGGUUAAGUCCAUCAACGAGCGCAACCCUUGUGAAUAGUUGGAUUUUUCUAUUCAGACUGCCCCGGUAACGGGGAGGAAGGAGGGGAUGGAUGGUCAGGUCAGUAUUUCCCUUACAUCCUGGGCUAGAAACACGAUACAAUGGCUAGUACAAUGCGGAGCGAAGUCGCGAGAUGGAGCAAAUCGCAUCAAAGCUAGUCCCAGUUCGGAUUGGAGGCUGAAACUCGCCUCCAUGAAGUCGGU
rnacentral:rRNA from 1 species